UGAGGAACAUGACCUUCGGCGGGGAUAGCCGGCCCAACGGCCGGGUAAUACCGCGUACGACCACAUGGGGACAUCCCUGAGUGGUGAAAGCAGCAAUGCNCCGAA
rnacentral:rRNA from 1 species